CCUACGGGAGGCAGCAGUAGGGAAUUUUCGUCAAUGGGCGCAAGCCUGAACGAGCAAUGCCGCGUGAACGAGGAAGGUCUUCGGAUCGUAAAGUUCUGUUGAAGGGGAAAAAGAGCGGAGAGAGGAAAUGGUCUCCGAUUGAUAUUACCCUUCGAGGAAGUCACGGCUAACUACGUGCGAGCAGCCGCGGUAAUACGUAGGUGGCGAGCGUUAUCCGGAAUGAUUGGGCAUAAAGGGUGCGUAGGCGGCCUGCUAAGUCUGGAGUGAAAGGUACCGGCUCAACCGGUACAGGCUCUGGAAACUGGCGGGCUAGAGAGCAGGAGAGGGCGGUGGAACUCCAUGUGUAGCGGUAAAAUGCGUAGAUAUAUGGAAGAACACCAGUGGCGAAGGCGGCCGCCUGGCCUGUUACUGACGCUGAGGCACGAAAGCGUGGGGAGCAAAUAGGAUUAGAUACACCAGUAGUC
rnacentral:rRNA from 1 species